rnacentral:tRNA from 1 species
GGCCCGUUGGUCAAGCGGUUAAGACACCGCCCUUUCACGGCGGUAACACGGGUUCGAGUCCCGUACGUGUCA